GUGGGGAAUAUUGGGCAAUGGGCGUAAGCCUGACCCAGCAACGCCGCGUGAAGGAAGAAGGUCUUCGGAUCGUAAACUUCUAUCCUUGGUGAAGAUAAUGACGGUAGCCAAGAAGGAAGCCCCGGCUAACUACGUGCCAGCAGCCGCGGUAAUACGUAGGGGGCAAGCGUUGUCCGGAAUGAUUGGGCGUAAAGGGCGCGUAGGCGGCCCGGUAAGUCUGAAGUGAAAGUCCUGCUUUUAAGGUGGGAAUUGCUUUGGAUACUGUCGGGCUUGAGUGCAGGAGAGGUAAGCGGAAUUCCCGGUGUAGCGGUGAAAUGCGUAGAGAUCGGGAGGAACACCAGUGGCGAAGGCGGCUUACUGGACUGUAACUGACGCUGAGGCGCGAAAGUGUGGGGAGCAAACAGGAUUAGAAACCCCAGUAGUCC
rnacentral:rRNA from 1 species